AAGAACAGUCUACUGUGUUCGAUGACAGGAUUGUGCUCGAUGAUGGGUUUAGCUGGACUAUUGACCAUUCACAUUCUCUGAGAAGUGGUGUGACAAGAGAAUGACAUAGAUUGAAAGAAAUGUUGGACACUAUCAACAUCGGAUCCGCAAGACUUGUUUGGCCAUUCAAGGUGACUAGAUAGUUCUCAUCAGUAUCGCUGUGCUGGACGCUAUUGUGGUAUCGCUUGCAAUUAGCAGGAGACUCCUCGAUGA
rnacentral:lncRNA from 1 species